UACGUAGGUGGCAAGCGUUGUCCGGAUUUACUGGGCGUAAAGAGCGCGCAGGCGGUCGCUCAAGUCGCGUGUGAAAGCCCCCGGCUCAACUGGGGAGGGUCACGCGAUACUGAUCGACUGGAAGGCAGGAGAGGGUAGUGGAAUUCCCGGUGUAGUGGUGAAAUGAGUAGAUAUCCGGAGGAACACCAGCGGCGAAGGCGGCAUCCUGGACUGGUCCUGACACUCAUGAGCGAAAGCGUGGGGAGCGAUCCGG
rnacentral:rRNA from 1 species